rfam:Pan troglodytes isolate Yerkes chimp pedigree #C0471 (Clint) chromosome 20, whole genome shotgun sequence.
GCCGGGCGUGGUGGUGCUUGCCUGUAAUCCCAGCUACUCAGGAGGCUGAGGCAGGAGAAUCGCUUGAACCUGGGAGGUGGAGUUUGCAGUGAGCUGAGAUCACGCCACUGCACUCCAGCCUGGGCGACAGAGUGAGACUCUGUCUCUA